UACAAGCUACGAUGUUCGUAUGACAUUAAGUUUUAACUCUAACCUUAUUAUAGGGAGUUUUACAUUGAAACCGGAAUGUCAGGCCUUCCUCGAAAGGAUAACAGGAAAGUUUCUGCAAACACCCACUUGGAGAAGUGGUGGUUUAAAACUUUUUAUAACGAGUACGGCAUUUGUGGCUACAAU
rnacentral:other from 1 species